CUGAAGUUUUCUGCUAUUUGCGUUGAAAUAUUCCACAAUGUGCCAAUGUACGAAUGAAAGUGAAAGUGAUGUGCAAAGGUAAUUUACAAUUAUACCAUUUGAUAUAAUUGCGGGAUUGAGAAAAUAUUACAUUGCAACUAUUAUUACAAUAGAUGGCAAAAAUCGACUACUCGUUUAAUUCGAAAUGGCAAUCUGUUGGAGGUUUUCAGUUUACAAAUUCUAGAUAACAGUGGAACUAUCAUUUAUAACGAAUGCUUUGUUACAUCGUUACUGCAGACGUUAAGCACGGUGUGGUUCUUUAUAUCAAAUUCUUUACCGAGGUUUUGCUUUACGAGUUUAUUCGGAUGGGAUUUGUUUGCACGAAAGGCAUUAAUGCUCGGGAAACCAAGAAUGACUCUAUUUUGUGGUUUUAUUUUAGAUAUAUGUAUGUAUAUUGUUUUUUAAAUGAUUAUGCUGUAUUCUGAUCCCUUUAUUGUGCAAGCAAAUAUUUCCUUCCAUUGGGUUUCCUUUAUGA